AUGACCAUGAAUGCGGCUGAUGGUGUCAUUUCUGGGGAAAGCUCCCACUCUGCUGUCUUGUUAGGACCACACAUGGACGAAACUGCCCAAGACACUAAUCAACAGAUGACCAUGAAUGCGGCUGAUGGUGUCAUUUCUGGGGAAAGCUCCCACUCUGCUGUCUUGUUAGGACCACACAUGGACGAAACUGCCCAAGACACUAAUCAACAGAUGACCAUGAAUGCGGCUGAUGUCGUCAUUCCUAGGGAAAGCUACCACCCUGCUGACUUGUUAGAGACGCAGAGUGGACCAAACUGCCCAAGACACUAAUCAACAGGUACCUUCAUGUUUAGCACUUUAGAUUUACUCCUAGAAUAUUUUUAACUCGCCGUUUGUUGCUUUUUCUGUCCUUCAAGCAGGUAAAUAAAAAAGCUGUUUCAUUUGAAAUGCAUCUAGAAAGCUCAUGGUAAUGUUAUAUUUUGGACAGAUUUAAACAUUUACAGGGAUGUUCUUUUUGAUAAAAUAUCACUCUAUUCUGGGACAUUCACGACGUCCCCACAGGACACCAUAUGUUAGUGUUUGAAUAGAAACUGUGUGUUAGGUAUCUGACAACCUAAAAAUGGAAACAGAGACUGGCUACAAUUGGUCCCCAUACGGAACCUCAACAUGGUGUGUGAUAUGUCCCCACUAAGCUUGUUUAAUUCAGUAUGUGUGAAACAAGUCAGAGGUGGAUGGAGGAUAAGGAAAUAUUGAAUUUGAUGAUUUUUAACCUUUAAUUUUGUGCCUGUUGGCAUGAAUUUAACUUUAGAAAUGUGUCAUUAAGAACAUGCACUAGUGUAAUUAAAUGUUAAGCAGUGAUAACCUCAAACUGAAUACUUGUUUUACAUAAUUUUAAAUGGUUUUAUUGUAGAAAUGUUUGCAGAUGACCAUGAAUGCGGCUGAUGGUGUCAUUUCUGGGGAAAGCUCCCACUCUGCUGUCUUGUUAGAGACCACACAUGGACGAAACUGCCCAAGACACUAAUCAACAGAUGACCAUGAAUGCGGCUGAUGUCGUCAUUCCUAGGGAAAGCUACCACCCUGCUGACUUGUUAGAGACGCAGAUGGACCAAACUGCCCAAGACACUAAUCAACAGAUGACCAUGAAUGCGACUGAUGUCAUCAUUCUUGGGGAAAUCUACCACUCUGCUGUCUUGUUAGAGAUUCAGAGUGAUGACGUUUCGAGUCCACAAGACACUAAUCAACAGAUGACCAUGAAUGCAGCUGAUGUUGUCAUCCCUGAGGAAAGCUCCUACCCGGCUGUCUUUGUAGAGAUGCAGAUGGAUGAAGCUUUUGAUCCACCAGACUCUAAUCAGCAGAUGAAAGACACAGAUGUUGAAGAGUCAAAUGAUGAAUCUGACUCUGCAUCAGGGAGUAGUGAUGAGUACAUACCAGAUACCACUUCUGAAAGUGAAGAGAGUGAUGCGAGCCUGAAACCAAGGACCAAACCCUUUUCUCUUGAUGACGUAUUGAAUGACUCCGGUUCAAUGAGUCCCCCCAGUCUGUGA
rnacentral:lncRNA from 1 species